rnacentral:rRNA from 1 species
UGCGUAGGCGGUUUAAUAAGUUAAGUGUGAAAGUCCUGGGCUUAACCUGGGGAAGUCACUUAAGACUGUUAGACUGGAGUAUGGGAGAGGGUAGUGGAAUUUCCGGUGUAGCGGUGAAAUGCGUAGAGAUCGGAAGGAACACCAGUGGCGAAGGCGGCUACCUGGCCCAAUACUGACGCUGAGGCACGAAAGCGUGGGGAGCAAACA